GAGGCCUUAGCUUAAUUAAAGUACCUGAUUUGCAAUUAGGAGAUGCGAGUUAGUUUCUUGUAGGUCUUA
rnacentral:tRNA from 1 species